CAGAUUUUUGUAAAUUGAACAGUAUUUUACAGUAAUAUGCACAGUAUAAUACUGUUAAAUGUGUAACCAGUAUUAUACUGUAAAUAGCAAAGGAUUAUGGGAAAAUGUAUGCUCACUACUGUAAUUCUUCUCUACUGUAAAUCGAUUUACAGUAGUGCAAAUGCCCGCGAAAACUGACCAAUGAAAAGGGAGAUUUCUUUUCGCUUGUUGGGAGUGGCAGAUAACAGAGGAAUGACUCAACAAAAAGGUUAGUAUUACUUCUGUAAUUAUUUUAUGUAAAACUCAGAUAUUUUCAAAUGCAUUAACUUGUUAACAACCAAACAUGAAUUAGUGGGGCAAUUUGGGUGAGAAUAGCAUUAUUAAGCCGGUUACAAGCCUUUUUCGCAUCAGAACCCCUCCCCCACCCUAAAGUCAGUGAAAGCAUUCCAAUAAAGUCACAUUUAAGCCCGUAUGGUGGAUUUACAUGUUAUUGAUUGAAUAUCAUAUCUAUUUUUUGUUUUUAUUAAAACAUUUCUGCUAGAACUGUGCCAUUUGGAAUGUUGGAGGUGUCCGUGGAGCCUUUUUCUGGCAUUUAACGUAACGUUACCGUAAAAACUGUGGAAACUGUUAGCUGUUAGAUCUGUGCCAUUUGGGACAUCGGAUGAGCCUUUUUCUGGUCGUUAACAUCAAAACUGGUAAGCUAAAGUGAGGCAACACUAAAACAGAGGUUGUAUUUCCUGUUUUGUAUUUAUAUGUCAAGCAUUUUAGGUAUAAUUUAAUUUUCAUAAUCAUUUAUCAUCAAACUUUUACAGGUACCUAAGACUGUAAAGAAGAUAUUUUGAAGAAAGUUACCAAACAGCAUUGGACCCCACUCACUUCUAUUGUAUAGACACAAAACUAUUUGCAAGUGAAAGGCGUCCAGUUAACAGCAUUUUUCAAAAUAUCUCCUUUUGUGUUCUGUGGAAGGCAGAAAAUCAUUCAGGUGUGAAAUGACAAGAGGGUGAGUAAAUGAUAACAGAUUUAAGUAUAUCACUUUAAGUAUAUUCUUUAUACAUGUAAUGAAUCUCUCUCAGCCUGUUAAUUGCUGUACUUUUAGGUGACUGCAAUUCCAGCAGAUGUAGAGGGAUCCCACUCUGUGUCCAGCACCCCAAGACUGAUUGCACUUGGAGAUUCUGUUUUCCGUGCCAAAAAAUGGAUGCUGACAAUGGAGGGCAGAGUCAUCAUAGAGCCACAAGAGCUAACAGAUUUUCAAUGUGCAAUACCAGGAAGCGGCCACCAAUACACUGGACUUCAUUCAGAGGUUCAUUUUGAGAAUACACCCUGAUAGCACCAAAUGCCAAUCAAAAUCACAUAUCAGCCAGACACAGAAGAAAAAUCACCAGCCUGAAUCCUUGUGGCAUCUUUUAUCAACGAGCUUGUUGAGUAAUGAAAUAAAGCACUACUGACGAUAACACUACAAACAUGUUUUUUUUUGCCGUUUGAUUUGAAUUCUGAGACCUAUGCUGUCCAAACUGCAUACUGCGACAGUAUGUAAAGAUUUAAAUUAAGUACCUACCUAACUACCAUUAAAACAGUAUGUUCUAUAUAGUUUUUGUGAGAGUAGUAUUAUUACAUUUCGGACAUACUGCAUCAGGCAUGUUUAUUGUCAUGUGACCCGUAUGCUCUUUGACCUAUGACAUUUUAACAACAACCUGUAGAUAGGCAUUGGUAAAAACAUUAAGUGGUUUGUAUGUUUUUAACUCUGUUUCCUUAAUUUUUUUUGUCAGUUCUCAAUGCAUUGUUUUGUUGUUUUGUUCCCUGGUUUUCUGAGUAUUUUUAGAUGAAAUUCUGUUAAAAAUAAAACUUUAACUGC